AAAACUCAAAUGAAUUGACGGGACCCGCACAAGCAACGGAGCGUGUGGUUUAAUUCGUUGCUACACGAAGAACUACCUGGGUUUGACAUAUAGGUUGUAGGGAACUGAAAGGGACCGACCCUUCGGGGAGCCUAUACAGGUGUUGCAUGGCUGUCGUCAGCUCGUGUCGUGAGAUGUUCGGUUAAGUCCGCUAACGAGCGCAACCCUCGUCGUAUGUUAUAUGUGUCAUACGAGACUGCCGGUAAAAGCCGGAGGAAGGUGAGGAUGAUGUCAAGUCAGCAUGACCUUUAUAUCCAGGGCUACACACACGCUACAAUGGUCUGUACAAUGGGUAGCCAAGCCGCGAGGCGGAGCCAAUCCUGAAAGCAGGCCUCAGUUCAGAUUGCAGUCUGCAACUCGACUGCAUGAAGCCGGAGUUGCUAGUAACCGCAGGUCAGCAAUACUGCGGUGAAUACGUUCCCGGGUCUU
rnacentral:rRNA from 1 species